CUCGUGUCGUGAGAUGUUGGGUUAAAGUCCCGCAACGAGCGCAACCCCUAUUGUUAGUUGCCAUCAUUCAGUUGGGCACUCUAGCGAGACUGCCGGUAAUAAACCGGAGGAAGUGGGGAUGACGUCAAAUCAUCAUGCCCCUUAUGACCUGGGCUACACACGUGCUACAAUGGUUGGUACAACGAGUUGCGAGUCGGUGACGGCGAGCUAAUCUCUUAAAGCCAAUCUCAGUUCGGAUUGUAGGCUGCAACUCGCCUACAUGAAAUCGGAAUCGCUAGUAAUCGCGGAUCAGCACGCCGCGGUGAAUACGUUCCCGGGCCUU
rnacentral:rRNA from 1 species